GACGAACGCUGGCGGCGUGCUUAACACCUGCAAGUCGAACGGAAAGGCCCUGCUUUUGUGGGGUGCUCGAGUGGCGAACGGGUGAGUAACACGUGAGUAACCUGCCCUUGACUUUGGGAUAACUUCAGGAAACUGGGGCUAAUACCGGAUAGGAGCUCCUGCUGCAUGGUGGGGGUUGGAAAGUUUCGGCGGUUGGGGAUGGACUCGCGGCUUAUCAGCUUGUUGGUGGGGUAGUGGCUUACCAAGGCUUUGACGGGUAGCCGGCCUGAGAGGGUGACCGGCCACAUUGGGACUGAGAUAAGGCCCAGACUCCUACGGGAGGCAGCAGUGGGGAAUAUUGCACAAUGGGCGGAAGCCUGAUGCAGCAACGCCGCGUGCGGGAUGACGGCCUUCGGGUUGUAAACCGCUUUCGCCUGUGACGAAGCGUGAGUGACGGUAAUGGGUAAAGAAGCACCGGCUAACUACGUG
rnacentral:rRNA from 1 species